GAUGAACGCUGACAGAAUGCUUAACGCAUGCAAGUCUUUGGCGAAGCUGUGCUUGCACAGCCUAGCAAAGGCGGACGGGUGAGUAACGCGUAAGGAACUUGCCCUGCAGUCAGGGAUAACAGACGGAAACGACUGAUAAGACCUGGUAAAGUCAGGCGGACUCAUGUCCAGCCUGAUGAAAAGAGAUGCUGCAGGAGAGCCUUGCGUCCUAUUAGCUUGUUGGUGGGGUAACGGCCCACCAAGGCGAUGAUAGGUAGCCGGCCUGAGAGGGUGGACGGCCACAAGGGGACUGAGAUACGGCCCUUACUCCUACGGGAGGCAGCAGUGGGGAAUAUUGGACAAUGGGGGCAACCCUGAUCCAGCAAUUCUGUGUGCACGAUGAAGGUUUUCGGAUUGUAAAGUGCUUUCAGCAGGGAAGAAAAAAAUGACGGUACCUGCAGAAGAAGCGACGGCUAAAUACGUG
rnacentral:rRNA from 1 species